CUGGAGGGUGAUGAGUUGCACUGAAGAGGACUUGCGGUGCUGUGCGCUGCGGGCCUCACAGAGCCACAAUGGUGACAAAGCCAUGUGCACAGGGGCCAGCUGACUCCAC